AAUAACCUACGGGGGGCAGCAGUGGGGAAUAUUGGGCAAUGGACGCAAGUCUGACCCAGCAACGCCGCGUGAAGGAAGAAGGCUUUCGGGUUGUAAACUUCUUUUAAGGGGGAAGAGCAGAAGACGGUACCCCUCGAAUAAGCCACGGCUAACUACGUGCCAGCAGCCGCGGUAAUACGUAGGUGGCAAGCGUUGUCCGGAUUUACUGGGUGUAAAGGGCGUGCAGCCGGAGAGACAAGACAGAUGUGAGAUCUACGGGCUCAACGCGUGAGCUGCAUUUGAAACUGUUUCCCUUGAGUGU
rnacentral:rRNA from 1 species